rnacentral:tRNA from 1 species
AAGAUACUAGUAUAAAAUUAAUACACUCCCUUGUCAAGGCAGAAUUGCAGGUUAAAGCCCUGCGUAACUUA